rnacentral:rRNA from 1 species
AGAUUGAACGCUGGCGGCAGGCCUAACACAUGCAAGUCGAGCGGCAGCACGGGUACUUGUACCUGGCGGCGAGCGGCGGACGGGUGAGUAAUGCCUAGGAAUCUGCCUGGUAGUGGGGGGAUAACGCUCGGAAACGGACGCUAAUACCGCAUACGUCCUACGGGAGAAAGCAGGGGACCUUCGGGCCUUGCGCUAUCAGAUGAACCUAGGUCGGAUUAGCUAGUUGGUGAGGUAAUGGCUCACCAAGGCGACGAUCCGUAACUGGUCUGAGGAGGAUGAUCAGUCACACUGGAACGUGAGACACGGUACCAGACUCCUACGGGAGGCAGCGAGUGGGGAAUAUUGGACAAGUGGGCGGAAAGCCGUGAUACCAGCCAUGCCGCGUGUGGUGAAGAAGGUCUUACGGAUUAGGUAAAGCUAACUUUAAGUU